GUGGCGAACGGGUGAGUAACACGUGAGCAAUCUGCCCUUGACUCUGGGAUAACUGCGGGAAACUGUAGCUAAUACCGGAUACGACCUUGGAAGGCAUCUUCUGGGGUGGAAAGAAUUUUGGUCAAGGAUGAGCUCGCGGCCUAUCAGCUAGUUGGUGAGGUAAUGGCUCACCAAGGCGACGACGGGUAGCCGGCCUGAGAGGGUGAUCGGCCACACUGGGACUGAGACACGGCCCAGACUCCUACGGGAGGCAGCAGUGGGGAAUAUUGCACAAUGGGCGCAAGCCUGAUGCAGCAACGCCGCGUGAGGGACGAAGGCCUUCGGGUUGUAAACCUCUUUUAGUAGGGAAGAAGUGACUGGGUUUUCCUGGAAGUGACGGUACCUGCAGAAAAAGCACCGGCUAACUACGUGCCAGCAGCCGCGGUAAUACGUAGGGUGCAAGCGUUGUCCGGAAUUAUUGGGCGUAAAGAGCUCGUAGGCGGUUUGUUGCGUCUGCUGUGAAAACCCGAGGCUCAACCUCGGGCCUGCAGUGGGUACGGGCAGACUAGAGUGCGGUAGGGGAGAUUGGAAUUCCUGGUGUAGCGGUGGAAU
rnacentral:rRNA from 1 species